rnacentral:rRNA from 1 species
UUGGAGGGCAAGUCUGGUGCCAGCAGCCGCGGUAAUUCCAGCUCCAAUAGCGUAUAUUAAAGUUGUUGCAGUUAAAAAGCUCGUAGCUGAAUUUCGGGGUCUGUCCAUUGGUCGGGCUUUACGGUCCGUACUGGUGAGAUGGGUUCCUACCUUCUGAAUAACCAGCAUGCCAUUCAGUUGGUGCGUUGGGGAAGCAGAGCUAUUACCUUGAAAAAAUUAGAGUGCUUAAAGCAGGCUAGUGCUUGAAUAGAUUAACAUGGAAUAAUAAAAUAGGACGGCAUGGUUCUAUUUUGUUGGUUUCUAGGAUCACCGUAAUGAUUAAUAGGGAUAGUUGGGGGCAUUAGUAUUCAAUUGUCAGAGGUGAAAUUCUUGGAUUUAUUGAAGACUAACUUCUGCGAAAGCAUUUGCCAAGGAUGUUUUCAUUAAUCAAGAACGAAAGUUAGGGGAUCGAAGACGAUCAGAUACCGUCGUAAUCUUAACCAUAAACUAUGCCGACUAGGGAUCGGACGAUGUUAAUUUUUUAAUGACUCGUUCGGCGCCUUACGGGAAACCAAAGUGUUUGGGUUCCGGGGGGAGUAUGGUCGCAAGGCUGAAGCUUAAAGGAAUUGACGGAAGGGCACCACCAGGGGUGGAGCCUGCGGCUUAAUUUGACUCAACACGGGGAAACUCACCAGGUCCAGACAUAGUAAGGAUUGACAGAUUGAGAGCUCUUUCUUGAUUCUAUGGGUGGUGGUGCAUGGCCGUUCUUAGUUGGUGGAGUGAUUUGUCUGGUUAAUUCCGUUAACGAAAGACCUUAACACUGCUAAAUAGUUAGGCACUCCUUCGGGAGGGUCGUCAACUUCUUAGAGGGACUAUCGGCGUUUAGCCGA